rnacentral:snRNA from 1 species
AUCGCUUCUCGGCCUUUUGGCUAAGAUCAAGUGAAGAGUGAGAUACUCAACCAACUGAGCUUUCCAGGUACACCAACAAUUUCUAUUUCUAAUUGUGUUUAUUAUAUGUGGCUUUUGUUGUAACCUGUCUCACAUAUUUUAUAUAAACAGUUGGAUAUAAAUAUAUGUGCAUUAA